rnacentral:rRNA from 1 species
GUGCCAGCAGCCGCGGUAAUACAGAGGGUGCAAGCGUUGUUCGGAAUUAUUGGGCGUAAAGCGCGUGUAGGCGGCUUUGCAAGUCGGGUGUGAAAGCCCUCGGCUCAACCGAGGAAGUGCGCCCGAAACUGCAGAGCUUGAGUACCGGAGAGGAUGGCGGAAUUCCCCAAGUAGAGGUGAAAUUCGUAGAUAUGGGGAGGAACACCGGUGGCGAAGGCGGCCAUCUGGACGGAUACUGACGCUGAGACGCGAAAGCGUGGGGAGCAAACAGGAUUAGAUACCCCCGUAGUCC